CUCCGAAAAUAUUUACUAUCUGGCCCAGUAAGAAAAAGUCUGUAAACUUACGUAGCAAAUAUUUUGUACCUGCACUCAAAUGUGACCAUCUGGAUUCCCGAUAAAGUACUACUUUUUGAACACUGCUUAACAAAGUUGCUUCUCCAAUCUUGAUACACUGUUGGUAUAUGUACUAAACCUCUUCAAGGCACCAGCAGAGAGCCUAUGUGGAACCUCAUCACCAAGUGUAUCAAAGAGAAUUACAUAUGCAUCCUGCAUAUUUCCAAGCAAUGCUGAGAACAAGAAGAAUAUGGACCACCAUCCCUAUUUCCCGAGGACAACUUGUAUGAAUGGAGUUGAAUAGGAAUCAGAGAUACCACUAGGUAUGGUUUAGCUUCUGGUUUGGACACAGAUUACUUCUGUGAGUGAAUUUCACUUCACUUCAGGAGAGUUAUUCAGGUAAGUGUUGUUACCUGAUAGUUUUAUAGUUAAAUUGUCAAAGAGAUUGAAAAAGGGGGUAAAGAAGAUACUGUGGAACUGGGGGUUUAUUGGAUGUAAACACAAGUUUACAAUGUGCAGACAUGUACAGAUUAACUGAGGUACUACUGUGGGUGACAACAUAUAUAGUGGGUCGUUUUGGUUUUUUGUUUAUUAAGAUUCAUGUGAUUAUACUUCACAUAUUUAUUACAAGUUAUAAAAUUAGAAAAUUCCUUGGAAUUGUUAACUCUGGUUGAUUUUGGUAGAGGGGGCUGGACCAGGUGGCCUAAAGAACAAGGAGAGGGAAAGCUUUAACUUUAUAAUAAAUACACUUUGGCAUCUU